AUUGAACGCUGGCGGCAGGCCUAACACAUGCAAGUCGAGCGAGUGGGGACGGGUGAGUAACACGUGGGUAACCUACCAUCAGAGGGGAUAACACUUGGAAACAGGUGCUAAACCGAUACUGAUGGAUGGACCCGCGGUGCAUUAGCUAGUUGGUGAGGUAACGGCUCACCAAGGCCACGAUGCAUAGCCGACCUGAGAGGGUUAUCGCCCACACUGGGACUGCGCCACGGCCCAGACUCCGACGGGAGGCAGCAGUAGGAAAUCUUCGGCAAUGGACGAAAGUCUGACCGAGCAACGCCGCGUGAGUGAAGAAGGUUUUCGGAUCGUAACACUCUGUUUUUAGAGAAGCGGUAUCUAACCAGAAAGCCACGGCUAACUACGUGCCAGCAGCCGCGUAAUAC
rnacentral:rRNA from 1 species